rnacentral:lncRNA from 1 species
GAACAAUGCUUGCGUUGUACGAGAGAAUAUUUAUCCGGUUGCCCUGGUGCUCCCUGAAUUGUAAAAAGGGAUAGCCGGAAUAUCGCUUGAACCCUAAUCGGGUCUUCGUUUCUUGAAGUCACCGCCAUCGGCAGAAACAGAACCACCGCUGUGACCUUCUUAAUCGUCGAUCGAUGGCUCCCUCUUUCUAUAUCUACUCUCGUGGCGCUCUAUCUCUUCAAACAUGGUUCUCUCUCUCCUUCGCCGGUGUUUUGUAUCGCAUAUAAGAGAUCGUUGAGGAGGAAGGGAAGGGAUGAGUAUUUUGGCUGAUGUAGGGUGAAAGG